UACGGGGGGGGGCAAGCGUUGUUCGGAAUUACUGGGCGUAAAGGGCGCGUAGGCGGUUCGCUAAGUUGAAUGUGAAAACUCUGGGCUUAACCCAGAGCCUGCAUCCAAAAACUGGCGAACUGGAGUACUGGAGGGGAAAGCGGAAUUCCUGGUGUAGCGGUGAAAUGCGUAGAUAUCAGGAGGAACACCGGUGGCGAAGGCGGCUUUCUGGACAGUAACUGACGCUGAGGCGCGACAGCGUGGGGAGCAAACAGG
rnacentral:rRNA from 1 species